rnacentral:tRNA from 1 species
GGGGCUGGGGCUCAGUGGUAGAGCACUCGCCUAGCAUGUGUGAGGCCCUGGGUUCAAUACUCAGCACCA